rnacentral:snRNA from 1 species
GAAAGUGAAGGCAAUCUGGCUGCAUCUGUCACUCCACUGAUCGCCAGGGUUGACUGGGCUGAUCUGGCUGGAGAGCUGGGUGUCCCCUUCAUUCCUCACUGCUCCACGUGCAUCUCCUAAAGCUGCACACCCUGUCCAAGGGGACCGCCAUACCCAGCCGAAGAGGCCCAGUCUUCAGUCAAGUGUACAUGAGUAGUUGUGCUCCCUGCUAAAACCUUCAAACAAGCUCUCAGGAUGGUGGAGGAAGACACAACAGGCCAUUCAAUAAAACUCAUUGAAUAAUUAGGCAAAAAUAAAUCAGACUCUAAUCAUU